AAACCUCACAGAAAUCCCAAAUCCCUGCGGAAAGCCCAAAUCUCCAGAGACAUCCCAAAUCCCCAGAUGUCCCAAACCCUGCAAAAAUCCCAAAUCCCCUCCAGGAAUCCCAAACCUCACAAAAAAUCCCAAAUCCACACAAAAAUCCCGAAUCCCCUCAGAAACCCCAAAUCCCCUCAGAAACCCCAAAUCCCCUCAGAAACCCCAAAUCGCCUCAGAAACCCCAAACCCCUACCAAAACCCCAAAACUACCAAAACCUCGAAUCCUGCCAAAACCCCCACCCCCCCCAGAAACCCCAACCCCCUCACACCUCCCCCACCCCCUCGGACUCCCCCCUUUUUCCUCCCCUUUCCCGAGACGCCGCCCCCCGGCCCCACAGAGCCGCCCCCGCCGCCCUCCCUGAGGCAGCGGGCGGGCCUCCCGCAUACAGGCUGGGGGACUACAACUCCCAGCGGGCAACGCGCGAUGCGCCGCGCUGCCUUCUGGGAAUUGUAGUCCCCGAUACAGCCCCGCCCCUCCCUUUCCCCUCCCCGCUCUCCCCCUGCGGACUCCCCGCCCCACAAGGCCCCGCGCGCUGAGGCGGGCGGGCGGGGCCGCGCGGCGCAGGCGCGCUGCGCGCUGUUGUUGUGGCGGCGCGGCCCGCGGCUCCCCGGCCGGCAGCGAUGAGCGACAACGACGACAUCGAGGUGGAGAGCGACGUGAGUCCGCCGCUCCCCGCGGCCCCCGACGCUGCCCGGGUGCUGGUGGUGCCGGUGGCGGGGCGGUAACGCU
rnacentral:lncRNA from 1 species